GCCUGGGUGGCUCAGUCAGUUGAGCAUCCGACUUUGGCUCAGGUCAUGAUUUCGUGGUUCGUGGGUUCAAGCCCGCGUCAGGCU
rnacentral:tRNA from 1 species